rnacentral:other from 1 species
CGGUGUCUGCGGUGCUGGCGGGCUUUAUAGUUCCUUGAACCAAUGCUCAUUGAGCACGGGCUUGGUACAUCGCCAGGUGAGCGUGAUCAUCUCGCGUCAGAUGAACCCAACGCUUGGCUGCCCUCGCCCACCUGAACCCCCGGUUCAGGAUGCCGGCUCGUUGGCAUUCGCAGACACCUU